GAUGAGCGCUAGCUACAGGCUUAACACAUGCAAGUCGCGGGGCAGCAUGGGGGUUGCUUGCAAUCCCCGAUGGCGACCGGCGCACGGGUGAGUAACGCGUAUCCAACCUGCCCUUCACCACGGGAUAACCCGGCGAAAGUCGGACUAAUACCGUAUGUUGUCCAUUGACGGCAUCCGAUUUGGACGAAAGGCUUGGCGGUGAGGGAUGGGGAUGCGUCCGAUUAGCCAGACGGCGGGGUAACGGCCCACCGUGGCUACGAUCGGUAGGGGUUCUGAGAGGAAGGUCCCCCACACUGGAACUGAGACACGGUCCAGACUCCUACGGGAGGCAGCAGUGAGGAAUAUUGGUCAAUGGGCGUAAGCCUGAACCAGCCAAGUAGCGUGCAGGAUGACGGCCCUAUGGGUUGUAAACUGCUUUUAUGCGGGGAUAAAGUGGCCCACGUGUGGGCUUUUGCAGGUACCGCAUGAAUAAGGACCGGCUAAUUCCGUG
rnacentral:rRNA from 1 species